AGUGUGUGAAUAGAGGCGCGUGCUAAAUUAUAUUGAAGUGUUUUUAUUUAGUGUUUUGGUUGAACAAAAUUUAUAAAAAAUUGUGCAAGAUAUAACAUUUCAUAGAUGUUAAUAAGACUACUUAAAAUUUGUUGUAGUUUUUGCAUAAGUGCCCAGGAUUGAACUUGUAAUUUCGGCGUGUAUCAGUUUGAGUAUCAACACGAUGUUCUUGUUUUUCCUGAUUUUUGGGGUGAUGUUCGCGGAUGCAAUGAGAGGAGGUGGCCAUCGCUACGCCCCUGAGGUUUUGAUAAUAUUGAUAAUCUCAUUGGUUUUAAUUGCCGACGUCGUGCACAACGUACUCAUCAUAGGGUCUUCUCUUGGGAGACACGCGAAGCUGUUCAACAUUUCCUAUUACCUCGGUGCCGUGCUGCUGUUCGUUCUAACAGUAAACCUAAUUUUGGGUUUUGCGUCUGCAAUAGCGAUAGGACCAUUAGAUGCUUCGGCGCGAUUUUAUAGAUAUUCGGCAAUUUUUGUCUUACUGAUAAUUAUGCGAGGACUCAUGCUCCUGAUGAUGCGCGGCGUAAGGUUGCAGCUACAAAGCCAUGGACACAUUGACUUGGACAUGGACAGGACCAUUUAAACAUUUAAAUGGGGAGGGACCAGGAACCUCCAGUUCGACGCGUCUAUUAGUUAUGCUUCGGCAACGGAACCCACGCUCCGAGCGUCACGAGCGUGCACGCUCGCCGACCGCCAUACGUGGCCAAUUUGGAAUAUUACGCGAAACUGCGUAGGGGGCGCCAGGGCGCCACUACCACAAUCUGAGGGUCUAUCGUGAAACAAGAAAAUUUAUUUAUCUAACACCUCUGUCACCCUUGCAUAUUCGAGCGAUAAAGAGGCAGAUAGCGAAUUUUCGGAUUCGCGUUUCCCGGUAGGUCCUCUGUAAGCAAACCGCCUUCAUGCAUCAAUGUCAUAUUUUAUUAUCUCUGAAAAGUUGUCAAAAACCUGUUAAAGGUACAGUAUGUAUAAGUUACUCUAUGGUUUACUAAAAAGGCUAGUCCUGCACUAUGGUGGCAGAACAUUGCAGUAAUACUAAUAUCCCCUAUUGGCCAUACGUUACAUUUGUGGCGUCGAGCGUGCACGCUCGUUGACGCUCUGGGCGUGCGUUUCCAGGCUCUCGGGUAAUCUUUUGUAAUAGAGGCUCUGGGAGCUGCACUUGGCGAACCCCCAUGAUUCCGCCAUUUUGAACAUGUUUUAAUAACAGAAUUGACAAAACAAUCUAUACUUGAUGGGCACUUUGCCAAGAGGUCAGGGUUUGUUAUAGGGAUUUUUUUUUAGGUAGGUUUAGUUUUAAUCGUUUUAUUUUAUAAGUAGUCUUAAUUUUGUUUUAUACAAUUAAUGUAAAUU